UUGACGGGGCCCGCACAAGCGGUGGAGCAUGUGGUUUAAUUCGACGCAACGCGAAGAACCUUACCAGGGCUUGACAUCCCCUGACCGCGUAUGAAAGUACGUUUCACCCUCGGGUGACAGGGAGACAGGUGGUGCAUGGUUGUCGUCAGCUCGUGUCGUGAGAUGUUGGGUUAAGUCCCGCAACGAGCGCAACCCUUGUCUUUAGUUGCCAUCAUUCAGUUGGGCACUCUAAAGAGACUGCCGGUGUCAAACCGGAGGAAGGUGGGGAUGACGUCAAGUCCUCAUGGCCUUUAUGACCAGGGCUACACACGUACUACAAUGGCCGGUGCAAAGGGCAGCCACUUAGCGAUAAGGAGCCAAUCCCGUAAAGCCGGUCUCAGUCCGGAUUGGAGUCUGCAACUCGACUCCAUGAAGUUGGAAUCGCUAGUAAUCGCAGAUCAGCACGCUGCGGUGAAUACGUUCCCGGGCCUU
rnacentral:rRNA from 1 species